rfam:Brachypodium distachyon strain Bd21 chromosome 2, whole genome shotgun sequence.
CAUGUACUCCCUCCGAUCCAUAUUACUUGUCUCAAAUUUGCCCAAACAUGGAUGUAUCUAUGUUUAAAAGGCGCCUAGAUACAUGUAAUAUUUCGACAAGUAAUGUGGGUCGGAGGGAGUACCAA